rnacentral:rRNA from 1 species
UACGUAGGGGGCAAGCGUUAAUCGGAAUUACUGGGCGUAAAGCGUGCGCAGGCGGCUUUGCAAGACAGAUGUGAAAUCCCCGGGCUCAACCUGGGAACUGCAUUUGUGACUGCAUGGCUAGAGUGCGGCAGAGGGGGAUGGAAUUCCGCGUGUAGCAGUGAAAUGCGUAGAUAUGCGGAGGAACACCGAUGGCGAAGGCAAUCCCCUGGGCCUGCACUGACGCUCAUGCACGAAAGCGUGGGGAGCAAACAGG